ACUGGGUGUGGUGGCGCCUGCCUGUAGUCCCAGCUAUUCGGGAGGCUAAGACUGGAGGAUCUCUUGAGUCCAGGAGUUCUAGGCUGUAGUGUGCCAUGCCGAUUGGGUGUCCUCACUAAACUCGGCAUCAAUAUGGUGACCUCCUGGGAGUGGGGGACCACCAGGUUGCCUAAGGAGGGUGAACCAGCCCACGUCAGAAACGGAGCAGGUCAAAACUCCCGUGCUGAUCAGUAGUGGGAUCGCACCUGUGACUAGCCACUGCACUCCAGCCUGGGCAACAAAGCGAGACCCCAUCUAUU
ensembl:misc_RNA Metazoa_SRP Metazoan signal recognition particle RNA